rnacentral:rRNA from 1 species
UGCUUGCACCGAGCGGAGGAGUUGCGAACGGGUGAGUAACGCGUAGGUAACCUGCCUCUUAGCGGGGGAUAACUAUUGGAAACGAUAGCUAAUACCGCAUAAAAGUCGACAUUGCAUGAUGUUGACUUGAAAGGUGCAAAUGCAUCACUAAGAGAUGGACCUGCGUUGUAUUAGCUAGUUGGUGAGGUAACGGCUCACCAAGGCGACGAUACAUAGCCGACCUGAGAGGGUGAUCGGCCACACUGGGACUGAGACACGGCCCAGACUCCUACGGGAGGCAGCAGUAGGGAAUCUUCGGCAAUGGACGGAAGUCUGACCGAGCAACGCCGCGUGAGUGAAGAAGGUUUUCGGAUCGUAAAGCUCUGUUGUAAGAGAAGAACGAGUGUGAGAGUGGAAAGUUCACACUGUGACGGUAACUUACCAGAAAGGGACGGCUAACUACGUGCCAGCAGCCGCGGUAAUACGUAGGUCCCGAGCGUUAUCCGGAUUUAUUGGGCGUAAAGCGAGCGCAGGCGGUUAGAUAAGUCUGAAGUUAAAGGCUGUGGCUUAACCAUAGUACGCUUUGGAAACUGUUUAACUUGAGUGCAGAAGGGGAGAGUGGAAUUCCAUGUGUAGCGGUGAAAUGCGUAGAUAUAUGGAGGAACACCGGUGGC